rnacentral:rRNA from 1 species
GUGGGGAAUCUUCCGCAAUGGACGAAAGUCUGACGGAGCAACGCCGCGUGAGUGAAGAAGGUUUUCGGAUCGUAAAGCUCUUUCGUUAGGGACGAACGUGCUCUUUGUGAAUAAUGAGGAGUAAUGACGGUACCUAAAUAAGAAGCCACGGCUAACUACGUGCCAGCAGCCGCGGUAAUACGUAGGUGGCAAGCGUUGUCCGGAAUUAUUGGGCGUAAAGCGCGCGCAGGCGGGAUAUCAAGUCUGUCUUAAAAGUGCGAGGCUCAACCUCGUGAGGGGACAGAAACUGGUAUUCUUGAGUAUCGGAGAGGAAAGUGGAAUUCCAAGUGUAGCGGUGAAAUGCGUAGAGAUUUGGAAGAACACCAGUGGCGAAGGCGACUUUCUGGACGAUGUCUGACGCUGAGGCGCGAAAGCUAGGGGAGCGAACGGGAUUAGAUACCCGGGUAGUCC